rnacentral:rRNA from 1 species
AUACGGAGGGUGCGAGCGUUAAUCGGAAUUACUGGGCGUAAAGCGCGCGUAGGCGGUUAGAUAAGUCUGAUGUGAAAGCCCUGGGCUCAACCUGGGAAUGGCAUUGGAUACUGUUUAACUAGAGUGCAGGAGAGGAGAGUGGAAUUCUCGGUGUAGCGGUGAAAUGCGUAGAUAUCGGGAGGAACACCAGUGGCGAAGGCGGCUCUCUGGACUGACACUGACGCUGAGGUGCGAAAGCGCGGGUAGCAAACAGGAUUAGAUACCCCGGUAGUCC